rnacentral:rRNA from 1 species
UACGAAGGUCCCAAGCGUUAUCCGGAUUUAUUGGGUUUAAAGGGUGCGUAGGCUGAUUAUUAAGUCAGUGGUGAAAGCCCCAAGCCUAACUUGGGAAUUGCCAUUGAUACUGAUGAUCUUGAGUACAUUUGAAGUGGGCGGAAUGUGUCAUGUAGCGGUGAAAUGCUUAGAUAUGACACAGAACACCGAUUGCGUAGGCAGCUCACUAAACUGUAACUGACGCUGAGGCACGAAAGCGUGGGGAGCAAACAGG